UUGAUUGAGAUGAUAAGGUGGAAAGUGGAGAUGCAGAUGAUUCAGUUGAAAAUUCGGAUGUUGAUUCAGAUGAUAAUGUGGAAGGUGGAGAUGUAGAUGAUUCAGUUGAAAAUUCGGAUGUUGAUUCAGAUGAUAAGGUGGAAGGUGGAGAUGCAGUUGAUUCAGUUGAGAUUUCAGAUGUUGAUUCAGAUGAUAAUGUGGAAGAUGCAGAUGUAGAUGAUUCAGUUGAGAAUUUGGAUGUUGAUUCAGAUGAUAAUGUGGAAGGUGGAGACGCAGAUGAUUCAGUUGAGAAUUCGGAUGUUGAUUCAGAUGAUAAGGUGUAAGGUGGAGAUGCAGUUGAUUCAGUUGAGAAUUCGGAUGUUGAUUCAGAUGAUAAUGUAGAAGGUGGAUAGGCAGAAGAUUCAGUUGAGAAUUCGGAUGUUGAUUCAGAUGAUAAGGUGGAAGGUGGAGAGGCAGAAGGCUCAGUUGAGAAUUCGGAUGUUGAUUCAGAUGAUAAGGUGGAAGGUGGAGAGGCAGAAGACUCAGUUGAGAAUUCGGAUGUUGAUUCAGAUGAUAAUGUGGAAGGUGGAGAUGCAGAUGAUUCAGUUGAGAUUUCGGAUGUUGAUUCAGAUGAUAAUGUGGAAGGUGAAGAGGC